rnacentral:rRNA from 1 species
UACGUAGGGUGCGAGCGUUGUCCGGAAUUACUGGGCGUAAAGAGCUCGUAGGCGGUUUGUCGCGUCGUCCGUGAAAACUUGGGGCUCAACCCCAAGCUUGCGGGCGAUACGGGCAGACUUGAGUACUGCAGGGGAGACUGGAAUUCCUGGUGUAGCGGUGAAAUGCGCAGAUAUCAGGAGGAACACCGGUGGCGAAGGCGGAUCUCUGGGCCUGUCCUGACGCUCAGGCGCGAAAGCUAGGGGGAGCAAACAGG